UACGAAGGGGGCUAGCGUUGUUCGGAAUUACUGGGCGUAAAGGGCGCGUAGGCGGUACUUCAAGUCAGGCGUGAAAGCCCCGGGCUCAACCUGGGAACCGCGCUUGAGACUGGAGAACUAGAGUUCGGGAGAGGAUGGUGGAAUUCCCAGUGUAGAGGUGAAAUUCGUAGAUAUUGGGAAGAACACCGAUGGCGAAGGCAGCCAUCUGGACCGACACUGACGCUGAGGCGCGAAAGCGUGGGGAGCAAGCAGG
rnacentral:rRNA from 1 species